AGUGUUUCCAUCAAGACUUCUGCCCUGCAUUAGGCUUAGGCCCCCUCUCUGUGACUGUGCACACACACACGGCAGCCCCCAGGUAGACAUGGUGGUCAUCCACUGGCUAAUGGAAGUGUUUGUUCUAGAAAGACGUCUACAGAAUGACGGUGCCAUCAGAAACCAGGAUCACCCACCACUGCUGAGUGUUUCACAUUGCUCAUCUCAUCAACUCAGGUUUCCGGCUGAUGCCUAUUGCUACAAGCCAGUAUGUGAAGAGAUCAGUGUGCCACAACGGUACCAUCUGCCGGCCGAAGAGGGGAACUUCAACCUGAAUCAGAGCCAAGUUCAAGUGCAAGAUUUCGCAGAGUCAUACUGGAAAUGGAAACUACAGUCCCUACUAAAAUUAGAAAAAAGGAGACUUCUGAACACUUUCUUCUGCCAACCCACAAGCAGCUCCUUAUGACAAAGAAAACUCUGAAAUAUCUACUGAGCGGGGUGAUUUUCAAAGCUACGUUUGUCAUCAUCAGCCAGAACUGAAAACUGGUGGUUGUUUGGGGGCAUACAAACAGGAGGGAAAAUGUAAUAUGCAGCACAGGACAAAGCAAUGUACAAUUACUAAUGUUAACAGCAACUGGUUCCAUAUAGAGUUUAGUCUCAAUCGCAGUGU
rnacentral:lncRNA from 1 species